GCGUGAGUGAUGAAGGCCUUAGGGUUGUAAAGCGCUUUUGUCAGGGAAGAUAAUGACUGUACCUGAAGAAUAAGCCCCGGCUAACUCCGUGCCAGCAGCCGCGGUAAGACGGAGGGGGCUAGCGUUGUUCGGAAUUACUGGGCGUAAAGGGCGCGUAGGCGGUUAUGUGUGUCAGAUGUGAAAUCCCAAGGCUUAACCUUGGAACUGCAUUUGAAACUGCAUGACUAGAGUGAGUAAGAGGCGGACGGAAUUCCGAGUGUAGCAGUGAAAUGCGC
rnacentral:rRNA from 1 species